rnacentral:rRNA from 1 species
GGGCCCGCACAAGCGGUGGAGCAUGUGGUUUAAUUCGAUGCAACGCGAAGAACCUUACCUGCCCUUGACAUACAGCGAAUCCCGAAGAGAUUUGGGAGUGCCGCAAGGAGCGCUGAUACAGGUGCUGCAUGGCUGUCGUCAGCUCGUGUCGUGAGAUGUUGGGUUAAGUCCCGUAACGAGCGCAACCCUUAUUCUUAGUUACCAUCAGGUAGAGCUGGGUACUUUAAGAAGACUGCCGGUGACAAACCGGAGGAAGGCGGGGACGACGUCAAGUCAUCAUGGCCCUUAUGGGCAGGGCUACACACGUGCUACAAUGGUUGGUACAGAGGGAAGCAAAGCGGCGACGUGGAGCAAAACUCAGAAAGCCAAUCGUAGUCCGGAUUGAGGUCUGCAACUCGACCUCAUG